GACGAACGCUGGCGGCGUGCCUAAUACAUGCAAGUCGAACGCUGAAGGAGGAGCUUGCUUCUCCGGAUGAGUUGCGAACGGGUGAGUAACGCGUAGGUAACCUGCCUGGUAGCGGGGGAUAACUAUUGGAAACGAUAGCUAAUACCGCAUAACAGUAGAUGUUGCAUGACAUUUGCUUAAAAGGUGCAAUUGCAUCACUACCAGAUGGACCUGCGUUGUAUUAGCUAGUUGGUGAGGUAACGGCUCACCAAGGCGACGAUACAUAGCCGACCUGAGAGGGUGAUCGGCCACACUGGGACUGGGACACGGCCCAGACUCCUACGGGAGGCAGCAGUAGGGAAUCUUCGGCAAUGGACGGAAGUCUGACCGAGCAACGCCGCGUGAGUGAAGAAGGGUUUCGGAUCGUAAAGCUCUGUUGUAAGAGAAGAACGAGUGUGAGAGUGGAAAGUUCACACUGUGACGGUAGCUUACCAGAAAGGGACGGCUAACUACGUG
rnacentral:rRNA from 1 species